rnacentral:rRNA from 1 species
CCUACGGGUGGCAGCAGUAGGGAAUCUUUCACAAUGGGCGAAAGCCUGAUGGAGCAACGCCGCGUGCAGGAUGAAGGCCUUCGGGUUGUAAACUGCUUUUAUAAGCGAGAAAUAUGAUGGUAAUGUAUGAAUAAGGAUCGGCUAACUACGUGCCAGCAGCCGCGGUCAUACGUAGGAUCCGAGCAUUAUCCGGAGUGAAUGGGUGUAAAGAGUUGCGUAGGUGGCAUAAUAAGUAGCUAGUGAAAUCUGGUGGCUAAACCAUUCAGACUAUUAGCUAAACUGUUAAGCUCGAGACCGUUAGGGGUAACUGGAAUUUCUAGUGUAGGAGUGAAAUCCGUAGAUAUUAGAAGGAACACCAAUAGCGUAGGCAGGUUGCUGGGACGGUUCUGACACUAAGGCACGAAAGCGUAGGGAGCAAACGGGAUUAGAUACCCUUGUAGUC